rnacentral:rRNA from 2 species
GGGGGCGGCCGUGCUAUACAUGCAGUCGAGCGAACAGAUGAGAAGCUUGCUUCUCUGAUGUUAGCGGCGGACGGGUGAGUAACACGUGGGUAACCUACCUAUAAGACUGGGAUAACUCCGGGAAACCGGGGCUAAUACCGGAUAAUAUUUUGAACCGCAUGGUUCAAUAGUGAAAGACGGUUUCGGCUGUCACUUAUAGAUGGACCCGCGCCGUAUUAGCUAGUUGGUAAGGUAACGGCUUACCAAGGCGACGAUACGUAGCCGACCUGAGAGGGUGAUCGGCCACACUGGAACUGAGACACGGUCCAGACUCCUACGGGAGGCAGCAGUAGGGAAUCUUCCGCAAUGGGCGAAAGCCUGACGGAGCAACGCCGCGUGAGUGAUGAAGGUCUUCGGAUCGUAAAACUCUGUUGUUAGGGAAGAACAAAUUUGUUAGUAACUGAACAAGUCUUGACGGUACCUAACCAGAAAGCCACGGCUAACUACGUGCCAGCAGCCGCGGUAAUACGUAGGUGGCAAGCGUUAUCCGGAAUUAUUGGGCGUAAAGCGCGCGUAGGCGGUUUCUUAAGUCUGAUGUGAAAGCCCACGGCUCAACCGUGGAGGGUCAUUGGAAACUGGGAAACUUGAGUGCAGAAGAGGAGAGUGGAAUUCCAUGUGUAGCGGUGAAAUGCGCAGAGAUAUGGAGGAACACCAGUGGCGAAGGCGGCUCUCUGGUCUGUAACUGACGCUGAUGUGCGAAAGCGUGGGGAUCAAACAGGAUUAGAUACCCUGGGUAGUCCACGCCGUAAACGAUGAGUGCUAAGUGUUAGGGGGGUUUCCGCCCCUUAGUGCUGCAGCUAACGCAUUAAGCACUCCGCCUGGGGAGUACGACCGCAAGGUUGAAACUCAAAGGAAUUGACGGGGACCCGCACAAGCGGUGGAGCAUGUGGUUUAAUUCGAAGCAACGCGAAGAACCUUACCAAAUCUUGACAUCCUUUGACCGCUCUAGAGAUAGAGUCUUCCCCUUCGGGGGACAAAGUGACAGGUGGUGCAUGGUUGUCGUCAGCUCGUGUCGUGAGAUGUUGGGUUAAGUCCCGCAACGAGCGCAACCCUUAAGCUUAGUUGCCAUCAUUAAGUUGGGCACUCUAGGUUGACUGCCGGUGACAAACCGGAGGAAGGUGGGGAUGACGUCAAAUCAUCAUGCCCCUUAUGAUUUGGGCUACACACGUGCUACAAUGGAUAAUACAAAGGGCAGCGAAUCCGCGAGGCCAAGCAAAUCCCAUAAAAUUAUUCUCAGUUCGGAUUGUAGUCUGCAACUCGACUACAUGAAGCUGGAAUCGCUAGUAAUCGUAGAUCAGCAUGCUACGGUGAAUACGUUCCCGGGUCUUGUACACACCGCCCGUCACACCACGAGAGUUUGUAACACCCGAAGCCGGUGGAGUAACCUUAUAGGAGCUAGCCGUCGAAGGUGGGACCCCA